rnacentral:rRNA from 1 species
AACGCGAAGAACCUUACCUGGGUUUGACAUAUACCGGAUCGCCUCAGAGAUGGGGUUUCCCUUGUGGUCGGUAUACAGGUGGUGCAUGGCUGUCGUCAGCUCGUGUCGUGAGAUGUUGGGUUAAGUCCCGCAACGAGCGCAACCCUUGUCCUGUGUUGCCAGCAAGUAAUGUUGGGGACUCGCAGGAGACUGCCGGGGUCAACUCGGAGGAAGGUGGGGACGACGUCAAGUCAUCAUGCCCCUUAUGUCCAGGGCUUCACACAUGCUACAAUGGCCGGUACAGAGGGCUGCGAUACCGUGAGGUGGAGCGAAUCCCUUAAAGCCGGUCUCAGUUCGGAUCGGGGUCUGCAACUCGACCCCGUGAAGUCGGAGUCGCUAGUAAUCGCAGAUCAGCAACGCUGCGGUGAAUACGUUCCCGGGUCUUGUACACACCG